GGUGGUACGUACCGAGACUCCUUCAAAAUAAGGCUAUUUGGAAAGAAGCUAUUCCACAAUCUCAUGUCUGGCUCCCAUCCAACGAAGAACGACUUUAUGCAUAGCUCAAUAGCCUUGUGAAGCUCAUCUACCACCUUCCGGUGCUUUAGCUGAAUUUCCUUGUUAGACUCGGCCCCAUUGUUCAUUGAUGGGUCAAGGACCAAAAUCUUUGCCCUUGCGAAGUCCCAAAUGUAUGUAGACCAUUUAAAGUCGAAUUUCACUGGAAGAACAAUCUGUUUUUUAUGAUAAAUAGUAGACAUACAAUGAGGUUAGGAACACAAAAUCAAAGUAUCAUAUAUAUUGUUUACUUGUUUAUUCAUCUAAA